rnacentral:rRNA from 1 species
ACKGCUCAGUAACACGUGGAUAACCGGCCCAAGGGUCUGGGAUAACCCCGGGAAACUGGGGAUAAUACCGGAUGGGCCACCUUUGUUGGAAUGCUUGGUGGUUUAAAGGCAACGCCCUUGGAUGGGUCUGCGGCGGAUUAGGUUGACGCCGGUGUAAUGUACCGGCGUGCCUGUAAUCCGUACGGGUUGUGGGAGCAAGAGCCCGGAGAUGGAUUCUGAGACACGAAUCCAGGCCCUACGGAGCGCAGCAGGCGCGAAAACUCUACAAUGCAGGAGACUGCGAUAGGGGGACAUCGAGUGGCAUCCACCUUGGGUGCCUGUCCAACCGUCUAAAAAACGGUUGUUAGCAAGGGCCGGGUAAGACCGGUGCCAGCCGCCGCGGUAAUACCGGCGGCUCGAGUGGUGGCCGAUAUUAUUGAGUCUAAAGGGUCCGUAGCCGGCUUCGCAAGUCCCCUGGGAAAUCCAGCGGCUUAACCGUUGGGCUUUCAUGGGAUACUACAUUGCUUGGGACUGGGAGAGGUAGGAGGUACUCGGGGGGUAGGGGUGAAAUCCUGUAAUCCUUGAAGGACCACCAGUGGCGAAGGCGUCUCACCAGAACGGAUCUGACGGCAAGGGACGAAAGCUAGGGGCACGAACCGGAUUAGAUACCCGGGUAGUCCUAGCCGUAAACGAUACUCGCUAGGUGUCGGCCACGGUGCGACCGUGGUCGGUGCCGUAGGGAAGCCGUGAAGCGAGCCACCUGGGAAGUACGGCCGCAAGGCUGAAACUUAAAGGAAUUGGCGGGGGAGCAC